rnacentral:rRNA from 1 species
UACGUAGGGGGCAAGCGUUGUCCGGAUUUACUGGGCGUAAAGAGCGCGCAGGCGGUCGUUCAAGUCGCGUGUGAAAGCCCCCGGCUCAACUGGGGAGGGUCACGCGAUACUGAUCGACUCGAAGGCAGGAGAGGGUAGUGGAAUUCCCGGUGUAGUGGUGAAAUGCGUAGAUAUCGGGAGGAACACCAGUGGCGAAGGCGACUACCUGGCCUGUUCUUGACGCUGAGGCGCGAAAGCUAGGGUAGCAAACGGG